rnacentral:rRNA from 1 species
GACGAAGGUGGCGAGCGUUGUUCGGAAUCACUGGGCAUAAAGCGCACGUAGGCGGUGUCGUAAGUCGGAUGUGAAAUCCCUCGGCCUAACCGAGGAACUGCGUCCGAUACUGCGAUGCUUGAGGACCAGAGGGGUGCAUGGAAUUUCCGGUGGAGCGGUGAAAUGCGUUGAUAUCGGAAGGAACACCGGUGGCGAAAGCGGCGCGCUGGACCUCUACUGACGCUGAGGCGCGAAAGCCAGGGGAGCAAACGGGAUUAGAUACCCUAGUAGU